rnacentral:rRNA from 1 species
GGGUUAGUAGGUUGGUCAUGCCUCUGGUAUGUACUGGUCUCACUGAUUCCUCCUUCCUGAUGAACCUUAAUGCCAUUUAUUUGGUGUUUUGGGGAAUUUGGACUGUUACUUUGAAAAAAUUAGAGUGUUUGAAGCAAGCUAACGCUUGAAUACAUUAGCAUGAAAUAAUGAAAUAGGACGGCAUGGUUUUCUUUUAUUGGUUUCUAAGAUCACCUUA